AUGCUUAAUUUGAUAGAGCCAGACACAGGCAGGGUGGAAGUGGUAGCCUACAUCUCUGAGGGAGGGAGGGCUGGGUCUUGUGUUAGACAUCAGAAAGUAAAACCACAGCACGGCUUAUGUGCUAAAUCUACGAUGGAACAGAACUUUGCUGAUUUGUUAACGGAUGCAUUUUCAGACACAUCCCUCCCAUCUUUCCCUGAAGGAGGGUUCGACUUUGAGCCUCUUGAUUUUGACGAAGCCAAGACAGAAAUGUUCUCUGGAAGAUUACCAGUGCUGAGAGAGGAAGAGGAAGAUGUGGAUGAAGGACAGGAAGAGGAAGAGCCUGGUGGAGAAACUGGAACUGUACCUGACUCUAUCUCAGUGAAGACAUAUGAUGUGAGUUUGACUGAAGAGGAUACACAACAUAUUGAUGAUGAGGAGAAGUGGGAGGAGGAGGAAGAGGAGGGCAAGGAGGAGGAAGAGGAGGGCAAGGAGGAGGAAGAGGGCAAGGAAGAGGAGGAGGAGGAGGAGGGCAAGGAGGAGGAAGAGGAGGGCAAGGAAGAGGAGGAGGAAGAUGAAGAUGAAGAGGAGAUCACCUCAGGAGAAGAAGAGGACACAGGAAUAGAGAACAUUGGCUCCCCAGGGGGUAGGUCUGUGGUUGUUCACUACGACGAAGGGAAUAUAGAAAAUAUCGUAACUACAGGACAACCUUUUGCCCAAGAGGAUAGGGAAAACCCUAACAUCAGAAACAUAGAGCGAGGUGCUUAUGAGAACAGUGAUGUGAGUUGUUUUGAGGGUGUUACUGAAGACGUCACCAUGGAGAUCACAGAAGAUAUAAGUGAAUGGAUUGAAGAAGAGGAGAGACCGGCAGCUGAAGAAAACCAAGAGAAAUCAUCUGAUUCAGACCUGGAGGUCCCGACAAGCUCUAUCACUGAAAACCAGAGAGAAGAGGGAAAGAAAGGAGUGAACUUACUCUCCCCACAUUUUCCCCAGGAGAAUGAAGAGGAAGAAGAGCAAGAUGAACCUGGAGCUCCAGAGAUUGUUUCUGGUUGUCCUGAUCCCGCAGCAACACAGAAUCUGCAAUCUAUUAUGGUCAAUACCUUUGUGGAACACCCGCUUGAGGCGAAAAUUAAGGACUUCCUAGGGGAUGACCACCAAGAGGCGGGUGAAAGCUUUGCAGAUUACCCCUCUGACUUCUUUCCAAGUGAAUACGACAAGGAUGGAGGGAAAGGGAGAGAGCGAAACAAAAAUGGGAGCACACUGUCUAGUCCCUCUGAGGGUCAUUUAAAGAUAGACGAGAAUGUCGACCCAGAGAGAGAGAUAACCGAGCAGAAGGAUAGCCAUGUACAGGGAGAGGAAGAUGAAAAGGUUGACGUGAGACCUGCUAUCUCUCUGAGCGUAGAAGGCAAACAAGAUUUUGCAGAUUGUGCGAUGUGUAAUAUCAAUAUUGACAUUAGCGUGAGCAAGAUUAUUGAAGACAAUCUUGAAGCUGAUAGCUCCAGUGAUAGUUCCAGUGAUAGCUCCACUGAUAGCUCCAGUGAUGGCUCCAGUGAGGAUGAGAAGGAUAAUGAAGAACACCCAGCCCUGCCAAGAUACCAGGGUCUUCCUCAGAGAGACUGCCGAUCUGAUGUUUUACCUCUACCUGACUGGGAGGGUGGAGAGGAGAACAUCUCCAAGCAGAGUGUUGCCGACCUGCAUCUUUCAAACACCAUCUCUGAUGUCCCCACUUUUACCCUUCACAGUGAGGCUGGACUCAGUACAGCAGACGUAACCAGGUGUGACAGGGGUAAGAGGAGUACAGGCAACAUGUCAUCAUCUGACUCUGAGGAUAAUUUUCCGGGAGAAUUUUGUACAUUGGAGACUGAACUAAGAAAGGACAAAGGGGAGACUUGGAUUUGGGGUAAAGAGGAGUAUCUUCGAGAAAUCCCGCCGGAGCUAGAAGGAAAGUUGGAGAACCACCUUCACACCAAUAUAAACUGGGACACAGGGGAAAAUAACGUGGACAGGAGUGGUUUCAUUCUAGAUUACCAGUACGAGGGGAGCGGAAUCACAGUCGGAGAGGAACAAUUUGCAGAUGAUGAAGAAGAGGAGGAGAGGAGUUGGAAACAAGAGAAAGUGAGAAUCGAGGCAUUCUACAAGUUUUAUAAUGACGAAGAGGAGAAGGAGGCCAUGGAAACAGAAGGUGCUUUUUCAAGGAGGAAGCCUAGAGUUCAGUUCUGCAUGGAUCCCCUGCAUCAAGUCAUUGAAUAUACAGACAGCAGCAGUGACACGGAUUUGGUCGACGGCGCAUCUGACAGAGAUGAGGACCUGGAUUCUACAGCAAGGCUUGAAGAGCAGCGUGAGCCUGAGACUCAGGAGAGUCAGAAGCCACAAGGAGAACUACAAGAUCUCAGCAAAAUACCUCGGGCACACAGCAAGAGAGAUUGGUGUCUGAGGGUGCUGAAGUUCCUGCUGAAGAUGGCCCUUUUGACAUUGAUUGGACUUUUGACAUUCUGGUGGACAACAGACCUAAAGGACUUGGACUGGUGA
rnacentral:lncRNA from 13 species